rnacentral:ncRNA from 1 species
UUGAGGUUCUAUAUUUUAGAAUAAUUGGGAAGUGAGGUUUAAUCCCUCCGCGGUCCCGCCACUGUGAUGCUGACGAAAGAUAUAACCACUGGAUUAUUUUUAAUCUGGGAAGGGUAUCUAGUAGGAUGAAGCUAAGCCAGGAGACCUGCCUCAGAUGUA